rnacentral:tRNA from 1 species
GGGGAUGUAGCUCAGUGCUAAAGCAUAUGCCUGGCAUACAUGAGGCCCUGGGUUCCACCCCCAAGCACCACUA